CUUUAGCACAGUAGGCAGUGCAUCAGUCUUGUUAGCUGAAGGUCCUGAGUUCGAUCUUCAAAAG
rnacentral:tRNA from 1 species